CGUCGUAGAUUGUGUGAUAUAUGUGGUCACGUGGUACGUAGUCGAUUGUGUGAUAUAUAUGGUCACGUGAUACGUGGUAGAUUGUGUGAUAUAGCUGGUCACGUGAUACGUGGUAGAUUGUGUAAUAUGGUCACGUGAUACGUGGUAGGCUGUGUGAUAUAUAGUUAGGCAGUGGUGCAGUGUAUCGUCCGUCGUCGGUCACGUGACGCGUGUAGAGUCGUAGUCGUCUGUAGCCUUCAGCUUUCUAACUAAGAUGUAAGCUCUCCCACAAACACAAAUGUCGCGAUACUCCCGGUCAUCGUCAACGAUCGUAAUUUGCAUGUCGUGCGACGACAUUUCGAUUGUCACGCGAUUAAAAAACCCGUCGCAGUUUCGAAUCGUCGCGGUUACGUGGAGAGUGGCGCCAUCUACCGGUGUGCCACGUCGGCGCGGUCGGUGUGGUGUCACCGUCGCGUCACUGUGACGUCACCGUCACGUGGAGAGAUUGUAGAGCGAUCGUUGUUCCUUGGGAGGCUGAGAAGAUCUGUUUAUCUGUCCGUAAGAACAGAGUUGAUCUGUUUGUCUGAGCAGGGUCACUAUACGCUCGCCUCGACUGUCGUCCGUCGCUCGAGUUAGACGAGACUUUUACGCAUUUUUCGCGCGUGCAUGCCAAAAUGUCGACUUUGCCGCACCCGGCAGUUAGGUGCGAUAUGAUAUGACUACUAGGCACUUA